AUUGAACGCUGGCGGCAGGCUUAACACAUGCAAGUCGAGCGGAGAUGAGGUGCUUGCACCUUAUCUUAGCGGCGGACGGGUGAGUAAUGCUUAGGAAUCUGCCUAUUAGUGGGGGACAACAUUCCGAAAGGAAUGCUAAUACCGCAUACGUCCUACGGGAGAAAGCAGGGGAUCUUCGGACCUUGCGCUAAUAGAUGAGCCUAAGUCGGAUUAGCUAGUUGGUGGGGUAAAGGCCUACCACGGCGACGAUCUGUAGCGGGUCUGAGAGGAUGAUCCGCCCCACUGGGACUGAGACACGGCCCAGACUCCUACGGGAGGCAGCAGUGGGGAAUAUUGGACAAUGGGGGGAACCCUAAUCCAGCCAUGCGGCGUGUGUGAAGAAGGCCUUAUGGUUGUAAAGCACUUUAAGCGAGGAGGAGGCUACUGAGACUAAUACUCUUGGAUAGUGGACGUUACUCGCAGAAUAAGCACCGGCUAACUCUGUGCCAGCCGCCGCCGUAACAC
rnacentral:rRNA from 1 species